AUUGAACGCUGGCGGCAGGCCUAACACAUGCAAGUCGAACGAGUGGCGGACGGGUGAGUAAUGUCUGGGAAACUGCCUGAUGUAGGGGGAUAACUACUGGAAACGGUAGCUAAUCCCGCCUACCAUCAGAUGUGCCCAGAUGGGAUUAGCUUGUUGGUGGGGUAACGGCUCACCAAGGCGACGAUCCCUAUCUGGUCUGAGAGGAGGACCGGCCACACUGGAACUGAGACACGGUCCAGACUACUACGGGAGGCAGCAGUGGGGAAUAUUGCACAAUGGGCGCAAGCCUGAUGCAGCAAUGCCGCGUGGAUGAAGAAGGCCUUCGGGUUGGAAAGUACUUUCAGCGGGGAGGCGUUACCCGCAGAAGAAGCACCGGCUAACUCCGUGCCAGCAGCCGCGGUAAUAC
rnacentral:rRNA from 1 species